UGAAUUAUUCAAUGUGAAGGGGAGUCAUGACAACUGCAAACACACGGUGCAUCAACAAAGAGGAACUGAGGUUAUGAGCUGAGGUUACAACCUGAGAGUGAGAAAGAGGAUUCUAAAAGACAAAUCCACACAAAGAUUAUCUAGAAAAUCCAGCUGGAGCAAUGACUGCAAUGAUGUCCCUUCAGUCCCGUCCAAUAGAUCGCUGACUCAGCACAGCCGCCGGAUGAUGCCAUCUGAAUGGUUUCAUCCAGACCCUGUUCCUGCCAUGGGCCUGCUGACAACUUCUGCUGUCAUCAGUAUUAUAAAUAUGAAUCACAUUACUAUUACUGUCAUCAUAAUUCAACAUUACCCGCUUUGCUUCUUUCCUGAAGUCUGUGCUUUCCCUAAUUUCUGUUAUAGGAAUUGAAUGUAUUGUACAUCUUAUAUGUUGUUCAUUCUGUACACAUGACAUCCAUUGUGGUUUGUCCCUCCUCGUUCUCCUUAAGGUUUCCUCCUUUUUUUCCCAUGGAAGGGUUAUUGAUUUUUUGGAGAGUUUUUCCUGUGCUGAUG